rnacentral:lncRNA from 1 species
AGACAAACAGCAAUAUAGAUGAUACAUCCCAAAAAAUAAAUAUGAAAUUAACUCACACACACACAAAGGUUUCAAGAUACUGUGUAUAAUUUCAUUCACAACUGUAUUUUCAACUACAUACAUACGGAAACCAACCUGUCACUCGACCAGUUAAUUGUUUCAAAAUAUUCUGCUUUGAUAUUAACUACAUGUUUAAUACACAUGAAGAAUUUCGUUUCCAUAGAUGUCCCCUCUGAUUUAUCCUUCCAUAAAAGUACAAUAAAAUCCCAAGUGAUAUUCUCUGGUCAAUACAUAAAAAUUACUUAUAAUCAACAAUGUUUAUUUAAUUCUUUAUAAAACGUCGCACACAAGCAGCUGCAUUGGAUACAAAAUAGACAGUUUAAACUAAGCCAGAUCACUCGACUAGUUUUCUCUCAGUUUGAUCUUCGUCCUUCGAUCUUUGAU